rnacentral:rRNA from 1 species
GACGAACGCUGGCGGCGUGCUUAACACAUGCAAGUCGAACGGUGAAGCGCCUUCCUUUUUGGUGGGUGUGGAUGAGUGGCGAACGGGUGAGUAACACGUGAGUAACCUGCCCCCUUCUUCUGGAUAACCGCAUGAAAGUGUGGCUAAUACGGGAUAUUCUGGGUCUGUCGCAUGAUGGGUCUGGGAAAGAUAUUGUUUCGGUGGGGGAUGGGCUCGCGGCCUAUCAGCUUGUUGGUGGGGUGAUGGCCUACCCAGGCGGUGACGGGUAGCCGGCCUGGGAGGGUGGACGGUCACACUGGGACUGAGACACGGCCCAGACGCCUACGGGAGGCAGCAGUGGGGAAUAUUGCACAAUGGGGGCAAGCCUGAUGCAGCGACGCCGCGUGAGGGAUGGAGGCCUUCGGGGUGUGAACCUCUUUCGCCAGUGAAGCAGGCCUGCCUCGUUUGUGGGUGGGUUGACGGUAGCUGGAUAAGAAGCGCCGGCUAACUACGUG